GGUGUUUUACCUCAAGAUGAAGGGCGAUUAUCACAGGUACCUGGCGGAGUUCAAGACGGGAGCUGACAGGAAGGAGGCGGCUGAGAAUACGCUUUUAGCGUAUAAAUCAGCUCAGGAUAUUGCGUUGGCAGAUCUGGCUCCGACUCAUCCGAUUAGGCUGGGAUUAGCGCUUAACUUCUCGGUGUUCUAUUAUGAGAUCCUGAACUCGCCGGAUCGUGCUUGUAACCUAGCAAAACAGGCUUUUGAUGAGGCGAUCUCAGAGCUGGAUACCUUAGGCGAGGAGUCGUACAAGGACAGCACAUUG
rnacentral:misc_RNA from 1 species